AGGAGAGUGCCUACUGGGAUAGAAAUGCCUCUGCAGUCCUUCCCACUCCCUCCUCAGAGAGAACUCGGCUAGCCUGAGACUGGCCCCUGGACUAUGGGAAGCCUUUAACAGUCUGUUCCUUUCUUGAUGUAUAGUCUCGUAGGAAAUCCCGCAGCAUCUCAAGGGGCCAGGAGAGGUUUUGCCAGGGAAGCCAUAGGGAGCUAAAGCACACUGGAAGAGCUGACUCCGGAGCUACAUAAUCAUGGGAGCCGUGAACCUUCCACGGACAGUGAGGCUAUGUGUCCCCCUCCCGCCGACCUAUGUGUCCUUUUGCCCUGUGUGGAGCGGAUGAGUACACACGAUUCACUCAGGGAGAAGGAGAAACAGCGGGACUCUAGAAACUUCUUUCAGACCCCUGAUACUGCAGCCUUAUCCACCAAGGCCACGCCCUCAGCGCUGGGGUUUCUCGGAGCAGUCAGCGCACGAGUUCAAAGGGCCUCAUUAGGAAGCAGAGGCUGGCUUUGAACCUGAAGUCUUCUGGUCCCAACCUCUUGAGCCCCUGUUAGGAUUACAGGCAGCACACCGGCCCUGGCUCCCUCUGGUAUUUUAAUUGAGACUAAAUUCCAUUGGAACUGCUUAUGGAUAGAGGGUGGCUUGACAUUCUCUUAAGAGUGCCGAGCUGUUUUUCACCCAAGUAAAAAGUCUUGUCUUUGCA
rnacentral:lncRNA from 1 species